rnacentral:rRNA from 1 species
GCUAAACGCGAAGAACCUUACCUGGGCUUGAACUGUCGGUAUAGGGACCCGAAAGGGCGACGAUCCCGGGCAACCGGGAAGCCGAUAGAGGUGCUGCAUGGCUGUCGUCAGCUCGUGUCGUGAGAUGUUGGGUUAAGUCCCGCAACGAGCGCAACCCUUGUCUUUAGUUGCCAGCGAGUCAUGUCGGGCACUCUAAGGAGACUGCCUCGGAUAACGAGGAGGAAGGUGGGGAUGACGUCAAGUCAGCAUGGCCUUUAUGUCCAGGGCUACACACGUGCUACAAUGGGCGGCACAGAAGGACGCGAGACCGCGAGGUCAAGCCAACCCUUAAAACCGUUCUCAGUUCGGAUUGCAGGCUGCAAUUCGCCUGCAUGAAGUCGGAAUCGCUAGUAAUCGCGGAUCAGCUACGCCGCGGUGAAUACGUACACGGGUCUUGUACACACCG